AAGUUCUGUGUCCAGCGCCUCCACAGACAUCGCACGCACAAGUUCACACACAGACACAAACAACACUUUUGGCUUUAAUAUAAAGCACCCUCAGCGUAUUUAUUUGAGCCUCCUCGUGGCAUUUUGGGCUAGGCAGGGCUGGCACUCCCUGUUCUAGUUCUUUGGAAACAGGUGUGUGAAAGCUUUGGUUGCGAUCACCUGCUGGUAAGUGCCAAACUAGAACUCCUAUUUUGACUACCGGUUUGUUUUUCUUUGUAUUUCAUGGUGUACAUUUAAACUUGCUAAUGUAAAUUUCUAAAUCAAUAAAAGAUUCCUUUUUUA
rnacentral:lncRNA from 1 species